rnacentral:rRNA from 1 species
CAGUAGCCGCGGGAAUACGAAGGGGGCUAGCGUUGUUCGGAAUUACUGGGCGUAAAGCGCACGUAGGCGGACAUUUAAGUCAGGGGUGAAAUCCCGGGGCUCAACCCCGGAACUGCCUUUGAUACUGGGUGUCUAGAGUAUGGAAGAGGUGAGUGGAAUUCCGAGUGUAGAGGUGAAAUUCGUAGAUAUUCGGAGGAACACAAGUGGCGAAGGCGGCUCACUGGUCCAUUACUGACGCUGAGGUGCGAAAGCGUGGGGAGCAAACAGGAUUAGAUACCCCCGUAGUCCCUGUCUCUUAUAC